rnacentral:rRNA from 1 species
UCCGUAGGGUGCAAGCGUUGUCCGGAAUUAUUGGGCGUAAAGAGCUCGUAGGCGGUUUGUUGCGUCGGCUGUGAAAACCUGAGGCUCAACCUCAGGCCUGCAGUCGAUACGAGCAGACUAGAGUGUUGCAGGGGAGACUGGAAUUCCUGGUGUAGCGGUGAAAUGCGCAGAUAUCAGGAGGAACACCGGUGGCGAAGGCGGGUCUCUGGGCAUUACCUGACGCUGAGGAGCGAAAGCGUGGGGAGCGAACAGG